rnacentral:ncRNA from 1 species
ACAGUACAAACUGAGCAGACCGUGACACUUGUCAUGGAGUCGGGUCACGAGUGUGGCAGUGGAAUAUAUCAUCCACGGGACAGU